UUUUAUAGCACAUCAUUUCAAGUAAUUUUGCUUAUCAAAAUGCAUUUGCAACCCCCCACCCAAAGGAAUCCACAGCUACCGCACAACCACAGCAUAAUCAUAAACCUGAGAAAUUACAAUUGUUUUCAGUUUACUUUGGAAUGUAGACACAGUUGAGACAGAUCUCAGUUGGUCACCGGGCAUUUAAUUCAGAGAACAGUGAGCACCAAUUGUAAUACACAGCAUCCUUUGUGGGAGCAAGUAGCAUUUGUCCAAGGAAUGACAGUGUGGUAA